UAAGGAAUAUUGGUCAAUGGACGAAAGUCUGAACCAGCCAUCCCGCGUGCAGGAAGAAGGGGCUCUGCCUUGUAAACUGCUUUUGAAUGGGACGAAAGAGCUAUAUGCGUAUAGUGUUGACGGUACCAUUAGAAUAAGCACCGGCUAACUCCGUGCCAGCAGCCGCGGUAAUACGGAGGGUGCAAGCGUUGUCCGGAAUCACUGGGCGUAAAGGGCGCGUAGGCGGCCCGGUAAGUAGGGGGUGAAAUCUCAUGGCUCAACUGUGAGGCUGCCUUCUAGACUGCCAGGCUUGAGCACAGUAGAGGCGAGUGGAAUUCCCGGUGUAGCGGUGAAAUGCGUAGAGAUCGGGAGGAAGGCCGGUGGCGAAGGCGGCGCUCUGGAACGUUUCUGACGCUGAGGCUCGAAAGCGUGGGGAGCAAACAGGAUUAGAUACCCUGGUAGUCCCUGAGCGGGCUGGCAAGGCGCAU
rnacentral:rRNA from 1 species